rnacentral:misc_RNA from 1 species
GAUGAAGAACGUAGCGAAAUGCGAUAAGUAGUGUGAAUUGCAGAAUUCAGUGAAUCAUCGAGUCUUUGAACGCACAUUGCGCCCGCCAGCAUUCUGGCGGGCAUGCCUGUUCGAGCGUCAUUUCAACCCUCGACCUCCCCUUGGGGAAGUCGGCGUUGGGGACCGGCAGUAUACCGCCGGCCCCGAAAUGGAGUGGCGGCCCGUCCGCGGCGACCUCUGCGUAGUAAUCCAACCUCGCACCGGAACCCCGACGUGGCCACGCCGUAAAACCCCCAACUUUCUGAACGUUGACCUCGGAUCAGGUAGGAAUACCCGCUGAACUUAAGCAUAUCAAUAAGCGGAGGA